rnacentral:rRNA from 1 species
ACCGGCGCACGGGUGCGUAACGCGUAUGCAACCUACCUUUCACAGGGGGAUAGCCCAGAGAAAUUUGGAUUAAUACCCCAUGGUAUUUUUGCCUGGCAUCAGGUGAUUAUUAAAGAUUUAUCGGUGAAAGAUGGGCAUGCGUCCCAUUAGCUAGUUGGUGUGGUAACGGCACACCAAGGCUUUGAUGGGUAGGGGUCCUGAGAGGGAGAUCCCCCACACUGGUACUGAGACACGGACCAGACUCCUACGGGAGGCAGCAGUGAGGAAUAUUGGUCAAUGGGCGCAAGCCUGAACCAGCCAUGCCGCGUGCAGGAUGAAGCAUCUAUGGUGUGUAAACUGCUUUUGUACGGGAAGAAACCCCGCCACGUGUGGCGGAUUGACGGUACCGUAAGAAUAAGGACCGGCUAACUCCGUGCCAGCAGCCGCGGUAAUACGGAGGGUCCGAGCGUUAUCCGGAAUCAUUGGGUUUAAAGGGUCCGUAGGCGGAUCUGUAAGUCAGUGGUGAAAUCUCACGGCUCAACCGUGAAAUUGCCAUUGAUACUGCAGAUCUUGAAUUAUUGGGAAGUAAUUAGAAUAUGUAGUGUAGCGGUGAAAUGCUUAGAGAUUACAUGGAAUACCGAUUGCGAAGGCAGGUUACUACCAAUACAUUGACGCUGAUGGACGAAAGCGUGGGGAGCGAACAGGAUUAGAUACCCUGGUAGUCCAC